AUGCAAGGGCACGUUUUCAAUGUGCUCCCCAACGAGAAGGCGACGACGCAUUCAUAUGUCAAUACAUAUCAACUUUCGAUGCCAUUGACUGCACCUACCAUGGUGACCACGGGUAACGGGGAAUCAGGGUUCAAUUCCGUACAGGAACCCUGACAAACGGCUACCACAUGCAAGGAAGGCAGCA